CGCGGGGUGGAGCAGUGGCAGCUCGUCGGGCUCAUAAUCCGAAGGUCGCAGGUUCAAAUCCUGUCCCCGCAACCA
rnacentral:tRNA from 1 species